UACAAUUGAAUCUUGGGUGGGCAUGGUUUCCCUUCGGAAAGGAGGGAGCCAUGGAAAUAGUAGAUGCAAUCACAAUCAUGAUUCUUUUGGCACAUUUAUCAUUGCACUAUUAACAUACAUCGCGAUUAACUACAAGAGAAAGUAAAAAACCCACCCCAAGGUUAGCGCCAAAGGUGGGUUUUGUCCGUCAUUAACUUGAAGGGAUACCCCAUCCAAGCCAAUUGUAUAGGCCGAGUGUUCGCUGCACUCGGU
rnacentral:sRNA from 1 species